UCUGACAAGUAUGUGAAUAUUACAUUAAAGUCUGCUAUCGCGCAAAAAAGAAAAAAAGACUACAAUGCAAGCUUCUCUCGCUCUCUGGCGCGCAGGUGGGGAGGGUGAAAUCUCAGUUUGAAGUCUCAGUCUUCCUCAUUUCAGCGGACUACAGCAGCGCCUGUCGCACCAUCAGCUCAGUCCCAUCAUUCGAUGCAGUUUUGAGUAAUCAUUACACCUAUAUGGAUUUAUUUCACUCCAAGCUAUGCCCGUGACCAAAACAAUGACCUGUUGUUAUUUUUGGUACUGUUUUCUGCGCUGAACGACUGGAGAUUCCCUAUACAGGGAGCAUCAUCUCAGGGAACGGACUCUCUGGUGGAGCGCAGGACGGGAUGGGAUCGCAACAGCGCGUUUAGGAAACGGGAAUGGGAAGUUUAGACGUUCGUGGACUACGGAUACCGGCUAAAACACGCGAGGGACGGCUUUAAAUGAAGUUUAAAAAGUAAUAACACGCAGUAAUUGAAUAAUCGCCUCUGAAUGAACUGCUCUGUUUGUGGCUGGCUGUUAUUUCUUCACAGUAAGCAGCAGCGCUGGUUCUUCGGGCACAAUGAAAUCCAUCUACUCUCGCUUUUUCAUUCUUCUUCCGUGGAUCUUGAUAGUGAUCAUCGUGAUCGACAUCGACACGAAGAGACUGUCUGUUCGGAACACGGCCAGCUUUUAUUUGUCUCGGCUGGGAAAUGUGCAGCAGCGGCAGGUCGUUAGGACGACUCGGACCAGCAGCAGCAGCACCACAGCCACCAGCAGCAGGAGUAACGCCACAUCUCUCCCGGUCAUUUAUGCCAUCACUCCUACUUACAGCCGAGCGGUGCAGAAAGCAGAGCUCACCCGCUUGGCAAAUACGUUCCGCCAGGUUCCACAGUUCCACUGGAUCGUGGUGGAAGACUCAAACUCCCACACGGAGCUGGUUUCCCGGUUUCUCGCCCGCUCUGGGCUGAGAUACACUCACCUGAACGUGUUCACCCCGCGCAGGUUCAAGCGGACAGGGAUGCCCCGAGCGACCGAGCAGAGGAACUUAGCGCUCGGCUGGCUGAGAGGACAUCGCUCCUCCAAAGAUACAGGAGUCGUUUUCUUCGCGGAUGAUGAUAACACUUACAGCCUUGAGUUAUUUGAAGAGAUGCGGUCAACCAGGAGAGUGUCAGUGUGGCCGGUGGGACUCGUUGGAGGAAGGAGGUACGAGCGUCCCUUAGUGGAAAAGGGGAAAGUGGUCGGCUGGUACACAGGCUGGAAGGCCGACAGGCCGUUUGCAAUUGACAUGGCUGGCUUUGCAGUGAACCUGCAAGUGAUCCUGUCAAACCCACGGGCCCUGUUUAAGAGAAGAGGAGCCAAACCAGGGAUGCAAGAAUCUGAUUUCCUCAAACAGAUUACUAAGGUGGAGGACUUGGAGCCAAAGGCCAAGAACUGUACCCAGGACAACUGAAGGACUCAUGUGCAACUAUUACAGAAGGUUCAAAUUCUCACUGAUGCUCCAGAAGUAAAAACGAUGCAUUAAGAGCCAGGGGUGAAAACUUUUGGACAGAAUGAAGGUCCUGGUCUGGCAUACCCGCACUGAGAAGGUCAACCUGGGUAACGAACCAAAGCGACAACAGGACUCUGUCUAUAUAGAGGUCUAGCGAGCAACACGGCACUAAGACUGUCACAUAACACUGGAUGAAGGCCCGCCAUCAUCAGCACUUUCCAAAAAACGAUGGCCACCUUUAAA